rnacentral:rRNA from 1 species
UACGGAGGGUGCAAGCGUUAUCCAGAUUCACUGGGUUUAAAGGGUGCGUAGGUGGGAAUGUAAGUCAGUGGUGAAAUCUCCGUGCUUAACAUGGAAACUGCCAUUGAUACUAUGUUUCUUGAAUUUUCUGGAGGUCAGCGGAAUAUGUCAUGUAGCGGUGAAAUGCUUAGAUAUGACAUAGAACACCAAUUGCGAAGGCAGCUGACUACAGGGAUAUUGACACUGAGGCACGAAAGCGUGGGGAUCAAACAGG